UAUACAAGCUAUACAGUUCAUGACUAAACAUCCUGUAUGAAGACAUGCUUUGUUUUGAGUGUUUUUCCUUCUCUUGCGAGAUCAAAAUAUAUACUAAAUGCAUAGAAUGCUAGCAGGAUGCAUGUGAAUCAGUACUAUCACAUCACAUCACAAAGAGCUGUUAACAUCUUAAACAAGAUAGUUGCUGGCUAUUGAACUACUGUAUGCUGCUGAGAAUGAGUGUCCUUGUAUUGUGUAUGAGCUGCCUGUGUCUAUGGCUGGGGAAGCUCAGUGUACUGGUGUCUGCAGACUAUGUGGUACAAGUGGAGCUGGUCUCCUACAGUCAUCCAUCCAACAUACGCUCUGAUGGUCGAUGUUGUGAUUCAAGCAGUCUUGAGAAUGUAGCGGAUUUGACUGCUGUGACACCUACUUCACCUACUGCCUGAUGCCACGUGCCAGUACUGAUAGAGGAUGUCCCAAUAGUGAGCCCGGAGAUACUCUAGUCAGUAGCGUUAUUCGGUAAUGGGGCAGACAGUGACUUCUCACAACUUAAUAUAUUAUUUGGACUCCCUAAUCCAUUCAAUCUAACUGGAAUAUCGAUAGCAUGGGAGGGAGCUCAGCUUUAAAUACCAGUGUUUGAUGUUGAUAGUGAUGCAGAUGAUCAUAUUGUAAGGUAUCGAUUUGAUCUCGUCUCUCAGUGGAAUCAACAAGGCUAUUUUCUAGUACCGAGCCUGCUAUCACUCUGAGUGCUACUGUGUUAUGUGCUCCAUUCUACUCUGGAAGCAGUUGUGAGAUUUUCGAUCACUGUGAUUCCAAUGCUGUCACAUGCAGUGAUCGAGGAACGUGUACAAAAGGCCUUGAUUCCUACACCUGUGUCUGCAAUGCUGGCUAUACUGGGAACCUGGCUACACUGGUGCCGAGUGUGAGACAAACAUUGAUGAUUGUGUGAAUAGGAACUGCAGUGGAAAUGGUGUGUGUGUGGAUGGUGUCAACUCGUUCAGUUGUGAAUGUGUGUCUGACUUCACUGGAGAGAUGUGCAGUGUGGAAACACAAGAGAUGAGAUCAGAUGAUACAACAGCUACUAUAGCAGGUGGAGUGGUCGGGGGACUAGUGGGCGUUGUGCUGAUUGUUGUCAUCGUCAUUGUCAUAGUAAUUGUCAAAAACAAGCAAGAGUCGUCUAAAUACAACGUUAGUGGAGGAGGAACAGCCGACAAUGAUAUACCUUGUCAGAACAACGUGGUGUAUGGUGUGUGAGAUGAACACAGUUCAACCUCAAACCAACACCCUCUCUACUGGUCCACCUCCCUCCUCUCUACAAGAGCUGAAAUAUGACUAUCCCUGUACAAUGUUUCGGAGCCCCUCCCACCAGUGUACGGGAGUGUGGAUGAGAAGGAUGAGAAACUCAUGAUAAAUGUGAAUGUUAGCUAUGCAAACGUUGCCGAGCGUGAGGAUGAACUGGGACAGACUAGUGAUAUCUAUGAUGAUGUCAA